UACGGAGGGUGCAAGCGUUGUUCGGAUUUACUGGGCGUAAAGCGCGCGCAGGUGGGUGAACAAGUCGGAAGUGAAAUCUUGAGGCUCAACCUCGAGGCUGCUCCCGAAACUGUUCGCCUAGGGACUGGUAGAGGCUGGUAGAAUUCCCGGUGUAGCGGUGGAAUGCGUAGAGAUCGGGAAGAACACCAGUGGCGAAGGCGGCCCACUGGUCCGGUACUGACGCUGAGGUGCGAAAGCGUGGGGAGCAAACAGG
rnacentral:rRNA from 1 species